AGCAAUUGCGCCUUCCUUACCAUGGCAAGUCGAACGAUGAUCCCAGCUUGCUGGGGGAUUAGUGGCGAACGGGUGAGAAACAAGUGAGUAACCUGCCCUUGACUCUGGGAUAAGCCUGGGAAACUGGGUCUAAUACCGGAUACGACCAUUCCACGCAUGUGGUGGUGGUGGAAAGCUUUUGUGGUUUUGGUUGGACUCGCGGCCUAUCAGCUUGUUGGUGGGGUAAUGGCCUACCAAGGCGACGACGGGUAGCCGGCCUGAGAGGGUGACCGGCCACUCUGGGACUGAGACACGGCCCAGACUCCUACGGGAGGCAGCAGUGGGGAAUAUUGCACAAUGGGCGCAAGCCUGAUGCAGCGACGCCGCGUGAGGGAUGACGGCCUUCGGGUUGUAAACCUCUUUCAGUAGGGAAGAAUCGAAAGUGACGGUACCUGCAGAAGAAGCGCCGGCUAACUACGUGCCAGCAGCCGCGGUAAUACGUAGGGCGCAAGCGUUAUCCGGAAUUAUUGGGCGUAAAGAGCUCGUAGGCGGUUUGUCGCGUCUGCUGUGAAAGACCGGGGCUCAACUCCGGUUCUGCAGUGGGUACGGGCAGACUAGAGUGCAGUAGGGGAGACUGGAAUUCCUGGUGUAGCGUUGAAAUGC
rnacentral:rRNA from 1 species